GACGAACGCUGGCGGCGUGCUUAACACAUGCAAGUCUAACGGAAAGGCCCUGCUUUUGUGGGGUGCUCGAGUGGCGAACGGGUGAGUAACACGUGAGUAACCUGCCCUUGACUUUGGGAUAACUUCAGGAAACUGGGGCUAAUACCGGAUAGUAGCUCCUGCUGCAUGGUGGGGGUUGGAAAGUUUCGGCGGUUGGGGAUGGACUCGCGGCUUAUCAGCUUGUUGGUGGGGUAGUGGCUUACCAAGGCUUUGACGGGUAGCCGGCCUGAGAGGGUGACCGGCCACAUUGGGACUGAGAUACGGCCCAGACUCCUACGGGAGGCAGCAGUGGGGAAUAUUGCACAAUGGGCGGAAGCCUGAUGCAGCAACGCCGCGUGCGGGAUGACGGCCUUCGGGUUGUAAACCGCUUUCGCCUGUGACGAAGCGUGAGUGACGGUAAUGGGUAAAGAAGCACCGGCUAACUACGUG
rnacentral:rRNA from 1 species